UGGAGCAUGUGGUUUAAUUCGAAGCAACGCGAAGAACCUUACCAGGCCUUGACAUGCAGAGAACUUUCCAGAGAUGGAUUGGUGCCUUCGGGAACUCUGACACAGGUGCUGCAUGGCUGUCGUCAGCUCGUGUCGUGAGAUGUUGGGUUAAGUCCCGUAACGAGCGCAACCCUUGUCCUUAGUUACCAGCACGUUAUGGUGGGCACUCUAAGGAGACUGCCGGUGACAAACCGGAGGAAGGUGGGGAUGACGUCAAAUCAUCAUGGCCCUUACGGCCUGGGCUACACACGUGCUACAAUGGUCGGUACAAAGGGUUGCCAAGCCGCGAGGUGGAGCUAAUCCCAUAAAACCGAUCGUAGUCCGGAUCGCAGUCUGCAACUCGACUGCGUGAAGUCGGAAUCGCUAGUAAUCGUGAAUCAGAAUGUCACGGUGAAUACGUUCCCGGGCCUU
rnacentral:rRNA from 1 species